GAAGCUAGUCAGUGAUGUCUACACGGCAGAGAGAAAGCCAAGGGGAUCUGAGAGAGGCUGGGAAGGAAUGAAUAAUUGGAGGCAGCCACCUGCACACCCCAAGGGAGCUGAAUUUGAAAUGAUGACAGCAGUUCAAGAUGAGGAAACCGAGGCACGGAGGGGGCAAAACAGCUCAUACAUGGCAGAGCUGAAGUGGAAAACCAGGGGACCUACCUCGGCACACAUGUGUGUACAGAUGGGCCCAAGAAAUGAGGCAGACAGACUGAGACCCUGGAUGUGCCAAGGAGCUGACACAGAAGCCCCAGGGCCUGACCAGUUCUGGAAUAUCAACAAAUACGUAUGGGACAAGUAGAAAGAACAUAUGAAACUUCACAGGCCCAGAUAGAGUCUGAGAAAGUCCAGGCCCACAGGGAUUGUGUGACUUCACCAAGGCUGCAGAGCUGCUCGGGGGAGGCUGGGUGCCGCUGAGGCCUCCGUGGAGUCUACCGUCAUGUGGCUUGGCCACGGACGCAGACUCAGUGUCUCCUUGCAGCUGGCGGCCUCCAGAAGGCAGAGUCCCACGGAGGAGCCGGGGAGAAGGGGCUCCCCAGCAGGUCUGAGGCCCCACGUCCCUGGUACAGAGAGUCCGGGGCUGGCUGCUAGGACCCAGGCUUCUCUCUGGGCUGUGUUCAUGUAACUUUUUCAAGUAUCCAUCUACAUGUCAUUUAAAACAAGGUUUAGGUUGUUUUAUGAAAGUAACAUAAGCCGGUGGCAACAACCAAUGUAAGUGAUAUAGAAGGCCAGAAAAUGGAACACAGAAGCAACUCUGCAUGUACACAGAGCAAAACCAUUGGAGCUUAAAACCUGCCUGGAGGGCAACGUGCACAGCAGAUUGAGACAGAGAACACAACGCUGUCUACGCAAGCUAAAGAUACAUGCGCACCAACCACACUGCGUGUUUUGCAAGAACCGUGAUAACAGAAAGGAACACUAAACCCAUUAGAAUCGUCCUUUGUAGGGGAGCAAAAUGGGAGUGUGAAAUGCAGAAGAGGGAAUAAAUUAAUGAGUAGAUAAACCGAUGAAGCAAUGAUGAAUGAAUGAAUAAAACAAGAGAAGGGGUGUGGGUGCACCCUUAAAAAUAACAUGCCUCAAACUGAGAAUGAUUCAUGCGGUCUUCUGCUUCCGAUGGUCCCCCUCAUUCAGUUUUAACAUUAAAAAAAAAAAAGAAGAAGAAGACGAUAG